GAAAUCGUUCUUUUCUUCGACGCGGCGGCGAAGCGGGGACUUUUCGCGAUUCUUCUUUUGAUCUGAAACGGUGUUAUUAAUGGCUGGCUUUGGUGGUGGUUUGAGGUCUGGCUCAAGGGUUGCACCAUGCAGUGACGACGGUGAUGAUUCUUUUGAUCCGGUUGUGAAGAUUGUAAAGAUGAUGUUGAUGAGAGGGGAAAGACAGCAAGGAUCUGUCUUUGAUACGUGAGCAGCUUGCUAUGAUUGAGAACCAGCAGUCCAGUCUCUUAGACCUACUUCAGAAAUUCAUGGGAAGCUCACAGACGGGAUCCAGUCUCUGGAGUCUAGAGUAAGCGGUCUAGAGAUGGCUUUGGAUGAAUUAUCAUGUGAUCUUGCCGUUUCAAUCGGGAGAGUCCGUAAGAAUAGUAGCUGCGGAGGAGAGAGUUGUUCAAAACUACGUGGUACAGAGUUCUUAAGCCCCAAGUUCUGGAGAAAAACCGAGGAGAGACCAAUGCAGACACGGACCAGAAACACAGCAAGUGAAAUGGCUGCGCAGGAGAACAGUUUUGACCAGGGAAAGACAGAUGUGAACAACUUCGGCCAAAGGGGAGGUGGUUCUGUUUACCAGAAGAGAUCAGCAAGAAACCAGUUUCAAGACUCUAUGCAUACAUCCACCAGAUUAUCUACUUGAGGAGUGCACUUGAGUGAUUCUAUUUUUAUUUUAUUUUUGUUGGGGAGGAGGGUGAUGUGAGGAUUGAAGCACAAUAGAAGCUGACCAGACUGGUUGAGAUUAAUUGUGCAAAAGCCAAAUCUCAGAUUCGAUGCUUUGCUUCAACGGCCUGUUUGAAUUUUCAAGUCUCACUCACAUGUCUUAGUAACCUUUCUCUUUUAGAAAAACAUUCUAAUAAUUUAGUCAGUGGGAGUUUUAAAGAUCAAAUGGAUGUGAAUAGAAAUUAUAUUUAUGUGAUGUGUCAUUGGAGUUAUGUCAAAACCAUGGACAGAGAUAGAUGUAAAGAUUUGUGUGACUGUGUGGUGUUAAUAAUCCCUAUCUUUAUGCUUUUUGGAGACAGCUUUGAUGUAAAAUUUACGUGUCACAAUUAACCAUGAUCCCUAUCUUUAUGCUUUGUGUCUUUCCUUAAACUAAUUAACCAUGGUUCUUCAUGCUUUCUAGUUUCUAUGGUCACAUUCCUUUUUAUUAGUAGUUGAGCACUAACUACUGGUUUCUGUCUUUUUGUUGAAACAGCUUCUCAGACUUAAGAUCAAGCAAAAUUAGUCUGACCCUCGGAGAGGGUAAAAAGUAUGUGGAUAUGCCUCCUACAGAAGCAUGGAUUUGAGCAAGUUUACGUUUUUUUUUUGUGUUUGGACCUACCAGACACAGAUGGGUGUAUAAUUUUAUAUUCUUGAUAUGUAUUCAUAUGUACAUAUUUUCAAUGAAAAAAAUGUGAUAAGUAAAAACAGAAAUUGCAACUGAAUAUUAUUAUCUUUUUAUAGAUUUGUUGGCUGCUUUUAUGGUUCAUGGAUCUUAUUCUAAUCUGAAUCUUGCUUGAUAAUCCUUAGGUGACAUGAAAGUCUUUCUAGGCAAGAAAAUUAGCAAGUAUACAUUUUUCUUUCUUCUGCUACAAUUAAAAUGUUUUAGUCUUAUAUCUUUUUUGUUGGAUGACUAUUUUUUCUUAUUCAUAUCACAUGCCAAAUAGAGUUAAGAGGCCGAAGUAGUGGCCACAUUUUCAAAUUUGUAGAAUUAUAGUUAGUAAUGAUAAGAGUUUUUGUUUGUUGUGA